rnacentral:rRNA from 1 species
AUACGGAGGGUGCAAGCGUUGUUCGGAAUCACUGGGCGUAAAGGGCGCGCAGGCGGUUUUACAAGUCAGAUGUGAAAGCCCACGGCUCAACCGUGGAAGUGCAUUUGAAACUGUAAGACUUGAGUAUCUGAGGGGAAGGUGGAAUUCCCGGUGUAGAGGUGAAAUUCGUAGAUAUCGGGAGGAAUACCGGUGGCGAAGGCGACUUUCUGGCUGAAUACUGACGCUGAGGCGCGAAGGCGUGGGGAGCAAACAGAAUUAGAAACCCCAGUAGUCC